rnacentral:rRNA from 1 species
GAUGAACGCUGGCGGCGUGCCUAAUACAUGCAAGUCGAGCGAACGGACGAGAAGCUUGCUUCUCUGAUGUUAGCGGCGGACGGGUGAGUAACACGUGGAUAACCUACCUAUAAGACUGGGAUAACUUCGGGUAACCGUAGCUAAUACCGGAUAAUAUUUUGAACCGCAUGGUUCAAAAGUGAAAGACGGUCUUGCUGUCACUUAUAGAUGGAUCCGCGCUGCAUUAGCUAGUUGGUAAGGUAACGGCUUACCAAGGCAACGAUGCAUAGCCGACCUGAGAGGGUGAUGGGCCACACUGGAACUGAGACACGGUCCAGAGUCCUACGGGAGGCAGCAGUAGGGAAUCUUCCGCAAUGGGCGAAAGCCUGACGGAGCAACGCCGCGUGAGUGAUGAAGGUCUUCGGAUCGUAAAACUCUGUUAUUAGGGAAGAACAUAUGUGUAAGUAACUGUGCACAUCUUGACGGUACCUAAUCAGAAAGCCACGGCUAACUACGUG